CUUAAAAUAGGCCGGAUGCGGCGUAAACGCCUUAUCCGGCAUACGAUUUUAUUCGGCCUGGCUCCCCGUAGGCCGGAUAAGAUGCGCCAGCAUCGCAUCCGGCUAUAAUGCGCACAUAACCUCUUGAAACUCGUCCCCAGAGCCUCUUCAGCCAUCUAUUUGGGAGCAAACAAUUUCAUUCCAACUCAUAACCCCA
rnacentral:misc_RNA from 1 species